CUAUUCCAGUUGCCACCCCCUGGUUGUGGGUUCGAAGGUUUUGCGAUUUCUUAUGCUUUGUUAUUUGAAAAGUAAAAAACUGAAAAAUUAUGUGGUCUUAAGUAUAAAUAGAAACAUAUAGUGGUGACACAUGUUUUUGCAGGAACCACCAGGGGUCACACUGGUUCUAUGAGGUGUGUCAGAUAUUGAGACUGUACUUAAUUAAUUGAGCACAAGGCAAUGAAGAUGUGUGGGGGUGAAGAGUUAUAGUGCCACCGCUGCUAGCCUCAGCACUAGGUGGAGGGUAGCAGAGCACCGCAUUCCUGGAUGGGUCGAUAAAUACCACAGAUGAUUCGGUUACAAUAGCCAGACUUAUACCCUGAAAAUGGUGGCGACACAUUCCUCCGAAUUAGCUGUAAACAUGUACCAGAAGAGAACGCUGGCGAGUGAUACUCAUGUGUUGUGAUGAAUUAUAGAACGAUGCGUAACCGCUUCAUGGACACUACCAAGUAUACUCGUUGCUUCAGACAGCCUCAUGCCUGUGGCCAUCUGAAUUAUAGUGCUGAAUUACUCACCAUAAAGAGCGCCUUCAUAAUUUGUUUUCUUUGCCAAAUAUUAUUAGUCUCGUCAAAUCAUGAAAGAUGGAAUUGGAGGGGCGUGUAGCACGCGUGGGAAGAAGAUAAUUGCAUAGAAAAUGAUGGUUGUGAAUGGUUAAGAAAACAAAUUACUUGAAAGACCUAAUUGUAGAUGCGUGGGUGAUAUUAAAAUUAGUCUGAAAUUAGGGUGCGAAUGUGUGUGGACUGUAUUCAUUUGACUCACCACAGAGACAAGUGGCAGGCUCUUGUGAACACGCUUAUGAACGUUCUGGUCCCACAGAGUACAUGGAAUUUGUUGACUAGCUGAGCACCUACAAGCUCCUUGAGAAGGAUUCUACUGUUUGGAAGUAUGAGUAAUUAAGGCGGGCUGUUAAGAACAAGGUAAUGAACCGUGUGAUUCCAUAAAAUGCAGGCAGUUUCUGUCCUGAGAAACUAUUAGUCACUAUAGGAUCCUGACGAUGGUGUAUAACACACAGAGAUAUUGGGUUUUCGGACUUUAUCCAUCAUCCUGGUUUUUAAGAUAACUA